rnacentral:ncRNA from 1 species
AUAGUACCUGUGAUGAAGAGAGUACUCCUUUUUUCUUUCCAAGCGAGCCGGAGGAUGGUGAAAGCCCGGUAAAGAAAAGAUGAGGAACCGGACUUCGGAGGUGCGGCAGUGAAUAUUCAGUAGCUAUCGCCGGGACGAACCCGUUAUCCUGAUUAAGUGGCCUUAGGGCUAAAAGAGUGGUACCGCGCGGAACCCCCACGUCUCUUUA